GUCGCCACGUAGCUAUAAUUUCGCCAAAAGAAAGAAAAUGUCUUUGGUUCGAGUAUUUUGCUUUUGACCGAAAAUCGACUUUGUCUCUACAGACUUAUUAUGUUCUUGUCGAAAAUUUCAGGUCUUUGAUAUAAGGUUGUUGCAUUGGAUGGUCGUUACAAAAUCAAUUUAAUUUUUGGCCUGCCACUGCUCUGGCGGUGUUGUGCAAUUUUGGUAUAUAUGUACCUUAUGGCUGAUUUGGGGCAAUUAACCACUUAAACGUGGCGUUUAAGUCAUAUGAUAUUUAAAGGUAUUCUAGUACAUCUGUCAGAAGAUCAAAUAAAUGCUCUGUGCCAAAAUAUUGGAGACAAAACCAAGUUACAAAGACCCAUCGACUCCUUGAAUACUUGACCUACUUGAAUAAGGAAAUGUCGAAACGUCUGGAUUUUUAGUAUUCUUGUUUCUAUAUUUUUAUUAAAACAAAAUUUGUAUUUUAUAACAUUUAUCACCACAAACUUUUGAAAUGUAACUUGUAGGUUGGUGUAUAUUGCCCAAAACGCCCAAAAUAUCUUAUCAAUAUCGUAGUAUUAUAUUUAUUUUGUGUCGU